AUUUUCUCUCACUUCCUGCAUGCAUAAAAUUACAGGUGGUCUGAGGAAGCGCCUCUCAUGGCAUGAACAAGCUGUCAACUUUAAUGUGUUCAGCAACCAAGUCCAUUCCAGGUCCCUCUAAGGCUAAAUGUCUUUUUGUACAAUAUAAGAAGUUGUUUUGCACAGUUGCUGGGAGUUUGACAAUGGACACAGCAAAAUGGCUCAAGAAUUCAUGACCUCAGCUGGUGGUCUUUAAGUGAUCAACAUCUGUCAAGAGAUUCUAUAAGCCUCGGUCAGUCAAGAAGACUUUUGAAAG